UACGUAGGGGGCAAGCGUUGUCCGGAAUCAUUGGGCGUAAAGCGCGUGUAAGCGGCUCGAUAAGUCUGCUGUGAAAGUCCAGGGCUCAACCCUGGGAUGCCGGUGGAUACUGUCGAGCUCGAGUCCGGAAGAGGCGAGUGGAAUUCCUGGUGUAGCGGUGAAAUGCGCAGAUAUCAGGAGGAACACCAAUGGCGAAGGCAGCUCGCUGGGACGUGACUGACGCUGAGACGCGAAAGCGUGGGGAGCAAACAGG
rnacentral:rRNA from 1 species